UCGGAUUGGCUUCGCUAGGUUUUAAAAUCUUGCCCCAGAAAAAGGAGUAUGACGGUAAGGGACUCAAAAUGGUAGGACCCUCCAAACUUCGGCUUAUCUUCACAUGAUCCAAUUAAAGUCUUUCACGUAAGCAGCACAAACAGAUGAGAAAUCUUCACUCUCAAUUCAAGCCACAAUACCGUCCUGUGGCUCCUGUUUUGAGUCUCGUCAGAACAAAUGCUCUCUCUCUCUCUCUCUCUCUCUCUCUCUCUCUCUC
rnacentral:lncRNA from 1 species